GGAAAAUCCUCCCUCACGAUACAGUUUGUAGAAGGACAAUUUGUAGAUUCCUAUGACCCUACUAUUGAAAACACUUUUAAUAAAAUGGUGUCUGUGAAUGGCCAGGAUUUCAAUCUCCAGUUGGUUGACACAGCUGGACAGGAUGAGUAUUCCAUUUUCCCCCAGUCUCAUUCUAUGGAUAUUCAUGGUUACGUUCUGGUGUAUUCUGUCACUUCAAUGAAAAGGUCAGGGUUUUUUUUUUCUUUCUUAUACUGUUAUGGUUGUUUUCCUUAGUCAUAUACAGUGCCUUGCGAAAG